rnacentral:rRNA from 1 species
AGAGUUUGAUCCUGGCUCAGGAUGAACGCUGGCGGCGUGCCUAAUACAUGCAAGUCGAACGCGUACCUUUCGAGGUACGAGUGGCGAACGGGUGAGUAAGACAUAAGCAACCUGGCCCCGGGAGGGGGACAACCACUGGAAACGGCGGCUAAGACCGCAUAGGCUGAUGAUCCGCAUGGGGGAUCAGUAAAAUGCCCUGAGAGGGGGCAGCCUGGGGAUGGGCUUAUGGCGCAUUAGCCAGCUGGUGAGGUAACGGCUCACCAGGGCGACGAUGCGUAGCCGGCCUGAGAGGGUGGACGGCCACACUGGGACUGAGACACGGCCCAGACUCCUGCGGGAGGCAGCAGUAGGGAAUUUUCGGCAAUGGGGGGAACCCUGACCGAGCGACGCCGCGUGGAGGAAGUAGUCCUUCGGGAUGUGAACUCCUGUUAUAAAGGAAGAGAGGCCAGACCAGGAAAUGGGUCUGGAGUAGACGGUACUUUAUGAGGAAGCCACGGCUAACUACGUGCCAGCAGCCGCGGUAAUACGUAGGUGGCGAGCGUUAUCCGGAAUCAUUGGGCGUAAAGAGGGAGCAGGCGGCUGCAAAGGUCCGUGCUGAAAUUCCGGAGCCAAACUCCGGAGCGGGCAUGGAAACCGAGCGGCUAGAGUGCGCAAGAGGAACGCGGAAUUCCAUGUGUAGCGGUGAAAUGCGUAGAUAUAUGGAGGAACACCGGUGGCGAAGGCGGCGUUCUGGGGCGCGACUGACGCUGAGUCCCGAAAGCGUGGGGAGCAAAUAGGGAUUAGAUACCCUAGUAGUCCAC